UGUGAUACACUCUCAACGAGUCGAGUUGUUUGGGAAUGCAGCUCAAAAUGGGUGGUAAAUUCCAUCUAAAGCUAAAUAUUGGCGAGAGACCGAUAGCGAACAAGUACCGUGAGGGAAAGAUGAAAAGCACUUUGGAAAGAGAGUGAAACAGUACGUGAAAUUGUUGAAAGGGAAGCGUUUGAAGUCAGUCGUAUCUGGUGGGAUUCAGCCAGGCUUCUGCCCGGUGUACUUCUCGUCUGAUGGGUCAGCAUCAAUUUCGACCGAGGGAAAAAGAUGUGGGGAAUGUGGCUGUCUUCGGGCAGUGUUAUAGCCCCAUGUUGUAUGCCUCGGUUGGGAUUGAGGAACGCAGCGCGCCUAUAGGCCAGGGGCUACCCGCCU
rnacentral:rRNA from 1 species